rnacentral:piRNA from 1 species
UGAUGAAGGUCCUGCACUGGAUAACAGUC